UGCAAAAGUUGACAUGGUGUGAUAUUGAUACGGCUCAUCUUCAAUUUCAACCAUAUUCAUAUUUCCAUUCUUCAAUUUCAACUAUAUUUAUAUUCAUAUUUACAUUUAGAUGAGCCGAAUCAAUAUCACUCUUGCUUACUUCGUU
rnacentral:pre_miRNA from 1 species